CUUGUACCAGGAGGAAAAAUUCAUGCAUACAUGCACGGUUUCGCAAGUUGUCGAAGCGCCUCACAAUAUGCGGAUGAUCUUGUCACCACACAUGGAGCAAGAUCGAGGGAGGCACGGUUAUGAGGAGUUGGUUCGACAUCAUUCUACCAGGAUAUCAGAUUAAUGAGACACUACUAUACUUGCAAGCAGUAUAUGAGUCUGGUUGGAUCUCUCUCUCUAUCUUUGUAAUGCUUUGAGGUCUUGAUUUGCCAUUGUGCCUGUCUUGUACCAAUGAAUUCGAACCAUUUUUUUUUUCGAACAAUGUCGAGUCAUCAUAGUUUCGAGUAAUUGUACUACACCAGACUAAGUACAAUUAAAAGAGACCUCCAUUGGGUUUCACGCAUUAGAUACCAUUGAGGACAUCUUUUGCAUUGCAAUUGGUGUUCAUAUAGGAUCAUUCAUGGAGUCUCUACAUGAUAUAUUUUCAAUAUGACAAUGGACAGAAUUCUCGAAGUGACGUACACAUGUUAAUCGCCCCAUGUUUGAAAAAUAAUUACAUCCCUAUAUGUGUUUACAAGAUGUUCGGAAUUCGUCGUAAUAUAGUAGGCUCGGAUGACUCAGCUCCUAAGCUGUAGCCAGAGACGACGCACAGAAGCAAGAUCGCUCGUCCGACAUAAGCAGGGAAGUAUUAUUAUACUAUCUCAUAUGCUUUUCAAAACAUCUCCUGAUUACAACGUUCACUGGUUUUAUUCAAUCUCGUUAGGUCCUCACAGUCAGCUGAUUAAGCAUUCAGGUAUCCCCCCCAGCACUCAUCGACCCUCAGCAUCGAACAAUCGAGCCAACCGUGAACUUCUUACAUCGGACCUGGAGCAAUUUUGAGAAAUAUUAACCGCUCUCCAUUUCAAGCCAGCAAAAUAAUCUGCAUGAAACGAACAGAACGGUGCCUACGAACCAUGGAUUUCGACUCAGAUAAAAACACGUACAACCCAAGGAUCAAUGACAGGAUCAUUUGGUCAAGUAAUGUACAGAUUGGCCCAAGGAGACGCCAAGGUUUCGAGAGAAGACAAAGAGUCUCGUACCAUCAGAGAUGUUCCAAACUACAUCAGUCCAGAGAGAGUUUUUCUUCCAAGCCUUUGUCUGAACUUUUGUUGUUUAACGAACCCUUUUCUUGGGGGAGAACGAGUGCACUUGAAGAAACCAAGAAACAGUCUUCUAGGUUUCUCCAACUCUUGUACAGAAGUGAAACUUGGAGCGAAUGUUGUGCUGCUGUACUGACGUGGAUUAUUAUUCCUUUCUGGCAGGCGGGAAAAUUAUCAAAAAAGUC